CGCUGGUAUAAAGAUUGUGGAAGGGCUUGUUCGGAAUCGGAGUGGUAAGAAUCAUUGAGCAGCUGGAAGCAGAAAUCCUUGGAAAGAUGAAGAUCUAAUCCCAAGGUUUGAUCUGUGUAGGCCUGGAGAGUGAACUUCAUGAGCUCCUCUAUACAGUCUCUGAGCUCCACUGGUCUUGUUCCUGGAGAAGAUGGCUGCUCCAUUUUCCCCUUUCACUCUCUCUCUCUGUUAAUUU
rnacentral:misc_RNA from 1 species